rnacentral:pre_miRNA from 1 species
UUGGUUUGUCUUAAGUCAAAUUUGUCUAACUUUGAUCAAGUUUAUAAAAAAUAUAACAAUAUCUAUACUAUCAAAUAUAUGCACUAUCAAAAUAUAUUCCACGGUAGAUUUAAUGAAACAAAUUUAGCAUCAUAGAUGUUAUUUUUUUAUAAAUUUGGUCAAAGUUGAACAAGUUUGACUUAGAACUAACUAAA